rnacentral:lncRNA from 1 species
CUCCUAUCGGCUCCCGACAACGCCAUGAAGUCUGAACGGAUCCACUUUUCUCUGUGCCUCAUCUUUUCCCUGCCCUUCCAUACAUUUUCAGGGAUUCUCUUUCCCGAAUAUCUCAGAAAAGAACUGUGUAAAACCUCACACCUUGGAUGUAAGGCAAAAUCGGAGGGGUCCCCCGGGAGGGGACUGUGAAGGGGGAGGGGGUCUAGGCAGCCUGGGGACGUCGCUGCCCAUCAGUGAGAAUCAAGUCCUCCUCCGUCUCCCACCGUAUGGUUCUAGAGCAUCCGCUUGCAGGAGUUACGUUAAGUUCCGCCUACAGAUGGGAGACGGAGGAGACGGAGGGAGACAGAGGGGAGAAUCGACCCAAGUUUUUUCCAAGAGACUUCAGUGUAAGAGGAAUGGAGCUUAGGAUCAUUGGGUCCAUGUCAGGAGUGUCCAGGAAAUUCCUUUAGUGGUGCGUAUAUGUCUGGGCGAGAGCGAGUGUGAGUGUGUGUGUGCGUGUGUGUCACAUGAGUGUCCAUUCUAUUUAACACACUUGUACAGGACCGCUGUGUUCCUUUCUGCAGAUAGAGGGCAGCAGAGGCCAGCAUUCACAUGCUUAGGGCGCUGGCAUUCUACUUAUUUAAAUUAAUUUGCUCAAUUCAUAUUCUAGUGGACAUGUCUGAAGCACUCAGGGUAAAGAGACAAACUGCCCAUUGUGGCUAAGGGCUGUAGUUGAACUUCAAGAAUACUGACACUAACGCUUUCUUUGUCUCCAAUAUGGUCAUCAUGGCUCUCCCUCUAACCUCCUUGGUCUCAGUGAGAAAUGAAAUCUGCAACUACCCCCCAUUGUUCGGCACCUGCAAAUUAACUUUGACCCGAUAUUACUACAACACCUUGACAUUUUUGUGUGAGCCCUUCAUGUUCUCUGGCUGUGGAGGCAACAGAAACAACUUUAAACAAAAAUACAUCUGUGAAAAGAUGUGUAUUCUGAAAAGGUACAUCUCUCUUGGCAACUCCCUCCUUCACCUCUGUUGACACCAAACACUGGGAACCAUGGUUUUUCAAGAAAAGCCAAGUGUGAGAGUUCCCGUCGUGGCUCAGUGGUAACGAACCUGACUAGGAUCCAUGAGGAUGCGGGUUCGAUCCCUGGUCUCACUCAGUGGGUCGGGGAUCUGGUGUUGUUAUGAGCUGUGGUGUAGGUCACAGACUUGGCUCAGAUCUGGCGUGGCUGUGGCUGUGGUGUAGGCCGGCAGCUACAGCUCUGAUUUGACCCCUAGCCUGGGAACUUCCAUAUGCCGAGGGUGCAGCCCUAAAAAGAAAAAAAAGGGGAGGGGAACAGCUAUGAAGUUCUGCUAACAUGUAGAGAACCCUUUGUUUCUUCCAACAACCAUAUGAAUUACUAAAUUUGUUUAUUUGUUAGCAGGAAAAAGUAAGCUUAAUACGACAGAAGGAAGAAAUAAGGAAGAGGAAAACGUAUGCCCAAAUUAUUCUGAGUAAAUAAAUUGGACUAUUGCUAGAAGUUUUUUGAAUUC